GUCGGGCUCCUCCGCCAGCGUCGAGCUGGAGUCGCGCGCCGGCCCGCUGUGGGGUCGGGCGUCCGAGGCCCAGCCGGCCCGAGAAGUAGGCUCGGUCCGAGCUGGACGCUGCAGGUUCUGACCUCGAAACGGGGGCCUGAGUCCUUCAAGAGCCUGGGGGCGAAGAGACGAGAAGGCGGCUGCAUUUUGCUGAAUGGUGGUGGUGUUUGGGGUUUUUUAAAAUCCUUUCUCCCCCAUUUUCCUUUUUACACUUUUUUUUCUUAAAAAAGAUUUUUUUUUGGUCUUUGCCCUUUUAUUCGUUGGGGGAGUGAAUGCUGUCAGUGGCGAAGUAAAAUUAGGAAGGGGCCCUUGCCCGGCUGGCGCCUUCUCUGCGCGCUGACCUGCGGGCGAGGCUUGGGGCAGAGCUCGGCGGAGGGCGGAGGCCGCAAGUGGAGGUGAGGCCGGAGCUGCAGGCUGGCAGGGUUUCCAGCCUGGCAGGAGCUGUGCCCGGCGAUGCUUUUGUGAAUUACAUUAGGCGGAGGACUAGGACCCGCAUCUUUCAUUCACCAGAGUUGAGGACGUCCGCUCUGUGCCAGGCUGCCUGGCCCUGGGGGCUUCUUAGAGUUUUUUUCGUUUUCUGUUUUUGGAGGGUUUUGUUUUUGCUCACCAGUAAGUAGAAGGGAGGACGUCGUGUGAACAUCUAAUGUGCAGAUGUCUGCAGAGCGGUAUUUGGGGUCCACAGUAAGGUAGUCUUCAAACACUUAGAGAUUGUUUCUUUUACAGGGCCAUGCAGAUUGGAUCAAACCAGAAAUAAGGCUCUCUGUCCAGAAAAAGCCUUCACUGAAAGAAAUAACGUGCUUAAGGAAGGAACGUAUAAGUCAGGAAUUGAGCCAAGAAAAGCCUGCGAAGUAAAUAUUUGGCAGGGUCCCAGUCUGAAGGGGAAAGUCUCCCGAGCAGGUACAAAACCUAUCUGGAUCUGGUAGUGGAGGUAGUUUCAUCUCUAUCAAAGCCUGAUAUGAUUCCAUUAAAUGCUGAAUCAUACAAUUAAACUUUUUAAUGAUCCCUUUUCUUAACAAAUACAGUUCUGAACAUUAAUUUAAUUUCCAUAUAGGUUUUUGGUUUUUGGGUUUUUUUUAACAAGGAGAGAACAUCUUAGCCAAAUGAAAUGAAUAGUCAUUUCCCUUGAUAGUUGUAUUUUCUUUGUGAGUGAAUACAUCAGUGUUUUGGUUUUUUUACAUAAGUUCUUUUUUGGGCGGGGGGCGGGGCAGGCACCCGCAGCAUAUGGAGGUUCCCAGGCUAGGGGUCGAAUCAGAGCGGUCUGCAACCUACACAACAGCUCUGGGCAAUGCCAGAGCCUUAACCCACUGAGCCAGGCCAGCGAUCAAACCCGCAACCUCAUGGUCCCUAGUUAGAUUCGUUUCUGCUGCACCAGGAAGGGAACUCCUAUACAGAAGUUCUAAGGAGCAUGAUUCAUGGUUUUGUAACACAAAGACCAGACCUGAACUGAGUGAAUUCACAAAGAAAAAUAUUCCUCUGAGGCCAGUUGAUCAGCCAGCUUUUUUUUUUUUCCAUUUUUUAAAGUUUUAUUGAAGUAUAAUUGAUCUACAUCAGCCAGCUUUUUCACAUCCCAACUUUGCAACACCUUCCAGCCACUUAUUUACAGAAAGGAAUUUCUGCAUAAUAGACCAAGGACCAAAACACUGUGAAGAUCUGGGGACUUCUGUAACUUCUGUUUAUCAGUAAAACUUAAAGUGAGACUACUCCACGCUUUGCUUGAGUACAGCAUAGAAGGCAGAGCAGGAAAGGCUGCAUUUCACUUGGGAGAAGAAGAGGUUUGGGGUAUGGCAUUUUAAAAGAAGAAAGCAAGUUUCUGUUUUGCCCCUGAGGAGAAACAUGAGGAAUAAUAGGCCUUAAAAUGGUAUCCCACAGUUAGCAAGGACAGUAUUGAAAAGGAAAAAGCCUAAGGGGAAGGUCUAUAAGGGGUUAGAGGAAGAAAAGAUGAAUCUGGACAAGGAAGAAAAAAGUUUUAAAGGGUUAAUAAAUGUCUAGUGAUGCAGAGUCAUGAGAAGGGUUUAAGAAAAGGCCUUUGGAUUUUUUAACUAGAAAAUGUGGAUUAUUUUGUAUGGUUGCUUUUUUUCCUGUAUUAAAAUGUUUUAAUAUUAUUUUCAUUGUAUUUUAAAUUUGGAGUGGCUAAUGUAUUUUCAUAGUUCCAAAAUCAAACGAUACAAGAAGAUAUAGUUCACUAUUGUACUGAAUAUCCCAGUGAACAAAAAGUCAAGAGAAAAAUGUAUAAAGAUUAGGAAAAAAAAUGCAUAAAUCUGUUACUUGGAGAAAGCAUGAUAGUUUCUAAAUAAAAUUGUAGUUUAUGAACUAUUAGUGUUAUAAUGAAUUUAAAAAGUGGCUGGAUACUGUCAGUAUAUAAAGAUCAGUUAUUUUUUCACACCAGCACUUAACAAUUAGAAAAGGAUUUUUUGUUUUGUUUUGUUUUGAGGGCCACACCCUCGGCAUAUGGAGGUUCCCAGUCCAGGGGUCUAGUUGGAGCUACAGCUGCUGGCCCAUGCCACAGCCUCAGCAACAUCAGAUCUAAGCCUUGCCUGCUACCUACUGACCAAGGCCAGGGAUGGAACCCACAACCUCAUGGUUCCCAGUCGGAUUCAUUUCCGCUGUACCAUGACAGGAACUCCAAAAAUGAAUUUUUAAAGUAAUACCAGAUACAAAUGCACCAAAAAUUUGAAAUACCUACUGUAUUAGUUUCCUAUGGCAGCUGUAACAAAUUACCACAAACUUUGUAGCUUGAAAUAAAUUCAUUCUCUCAC
rnacentral:lncRNA from 1 species